GGUGACGCUGGCGGUAGGCCUAACCAUGCAAGUCGAACGGCAGCACAGGAGAGCUUGCUCUCUGGGUGGCGAGUGGCGGACGGGUGAGGAAUGCAUCGGAAUCUACUCUGUCGUGGGGGAUAACGUNAGGGAAACUUACGCUAAUACCGCAUACGACCUACGGGUGAAAGCAGGGGACCUUCGGGCCUUGCGCGAUUGAAUGAGCCGAUGCCCGAUUAGCUAGUUGGCGGGGUAAGAGCCCACCAAGGCGACGAUCGGUAGCUGGUCUGAGAGGAUGAUCAGCCACACUGGAACUGAGACACGGUCCAGACUCCUACGGGAGGCAGCAGUGGGGAAUAUUGGACAAUGGGCGCAAGCCUGAUCCAGCCAUACCGCGUGGGUGAAGAAGGCCUUCGGGUUGUAAAGCCCUUUUGUUGGGAAAGAAAAGCAGCCGGUUAAUACCCGGUUGUUCUGACGGUACCCAAAGAAUAAGCACCGGCUAACUUCGUGCCAGCAGCCGG
rnacentral:rRNA from 1 species